UACGGAGGGUGCGAGCGUUGUCCGGAAUCAUUGGGCGUAAAGGGCGCGUAGGUGGCCUGCUAAGCGUGCGGUGAAAGCUCGGGGCUCAACCCCGAGUCGGCCGUGCGAACUGGUGGGCUUGAGCACUGUAGAGGCAGGCGGAAUUCCGGGUGUAGCGGUGGAAUGCGUAGAGAUCCGGAAGAACACCGGUGGCGAAGGCGGCCUGCUGGGCAGUGAGCUGACACUGAGGCGCGGACAGCGUGGGGAGCAAACAGG
rnacentral:rRNA from 1 species